rnacentral:rRNA from 1 species
CAGCAGCAGCCGCGGUAAUACGGAGGGUGCAAGCGUUAAUCGGAAUUACUGGGCGUAAAGCGCACGCAGGCGGUCUGACAAGUCAGAUGUGAAAUCCCCGGGCUUAACCUGGGAACUGCAUUUGAAACUGUCAGGCUGGAGUCUUGUAGAGGGGGGUAGAAUUCCAGGUGUAGCGGUGAAAUGCGUAGAGAUCUGGAGGAAUACCGGUGGCGAAGGCAAUCCCCUGGGCCUGUACUGACGCUCAUGCACGAAAGCGUGGGGAGCAAACAGGAUUAGAUACCCCUGUAGUCCCUGUCUCUUAUAC